rnacentral:tRNA from 1 species
UCCUCUGUGGCGCAAUUGGCUAGCGCGUCUGACUGUUAAGAUCCUCUCGGAGGUAUAGCGGCAAUCAGGAGGUUGACAGUUCAAGCCUGUCCGGAGGAG